rnacentral:rRNA from 1 species
AUGAUUACUCUUGGUAACGGAUAUCUCGGCUCUCGCAUCGAUGAAGAAUGUAGCAAAAUGCGAUACCUGGUGUGAAUUAUAGAAUCCCAUGAACCAUCAAGUCUUUGAACGCAAGUUGCAUCCCAGGCCACCCGGCCGAGGGCACGCCUGCUUGGGCAUCAUGC